AAAUUGAAGAGUUUGAUCAUGGCUCAGAUUGAACGCUGGCGGCAGGCCUAACACAUGCAAGUUGAACGGUAACAGGAAGCAGCUUGCUGCUUUGCUGACGAGUGGCGGACGGGUGAGUAAUGUCUGGGAAACUGCCUGAUGGAGGGGGAUAACUACUGGAAACGGUGGCUAAUACCGCAUAACGUCGCAAGACCAAAGAGGGGGACCUUCGGGCCUCUUGCCAUCAGAUGUGCCCAGAUGGGAUUAGCUUGUUGGUGAGGUAACGGCUCACCAAGGCGACGAUCCCUAGCUGGUCUGAGAGGAUGACCAGCCACACUGGAACUGAGACACGGUCCAGACUCCUACGGGAGGCAGCAGUGGGGAAUAUUGCACAAUGGGCGCAAGCCUGAUGCAGCCAUGCCGCGUGUAUGAAGAAGGCCUUCGGGUUGUAAAGUACUUUCAGCGGGGAGGAAGGUGUUGUGGUUAAUAACCGCAGCAAUUGACGUUACCC
rnacentral:rRNA from 1 species